UUAAAACUAUUUAAAUAAAUAUCGAAAUUAUAUCCACAAUUUUCAUAUACCGCAAAACCCCGCAAAACUAAACAUCAAUUCAGAUCAUACAAAAGAGAAUUACUACAACAGCUUGGUAUAUAAUACAUUCAGCCAUGCAGAUUUUAUACUAGCAGGAUAUAUAACAAAAUUUGAAUUUUAUCUGAUUAACAGGUAAACACUCACAGGAGGAAGUCACUGUUAAGCUAUAGUUGAUGUCCGACGUGUGUUGUUGCUUCACCACCAAUUGCAAUUCUUCUUUGCUCCAUUUAUUGGUUUGUAAUGAACUGAAGGAGUGAAGGGGAAACUAUGAAAACAAAAUUUAAAAGAAAAUAUCUGCAGCAACGAGAAAGUGAUGAUGCCAAAACCGUGUCACACGCUUUGUAAUCGUAAACUUGUGUUUCAAGGUUUUGCUUUUCAAAAAGAUAUAUCUCUAAUAUAUAUAGGUCUAUAGAUUAAAGCAUGUUACGUGUUCAGUUAACGUGGUAACUUAAAGAAUAUUUGAGUAAAUUUAAUUUACAUAUCUAAUGCAUGACUAUAUAUUAGAUUUAUGCUAAAAUUAUUCAGGAAACCUACAAAAAUGGAGAGGAAGUUAAGUAAUUGAAUUUCUUUUUCAAAAAAAAAAAGUUAAGUAAUUGAAAGGGAAAGACACUUGAUCUAGUAUAAAAGUUUCAUGAACUACUCUUUUUUACUAUCAAUCAGACCAUCUUCAAUGGUUUACUCUAUUUUUUCCUCUAAAGUAGAUUAACUCUAUAAUAAAGUCGGAUAUUGUUCCAAUAGUAAUAGAAUGAUAAACGAAAACUAAAAAAAUUACUCUAUAUAUAGAGUAAAAAAUAGGUUUACACUAUUAGACCAUCUCCAAUGGCACUCUAUAAUUUUUUCUAUAUUUCACUCUAAAAUAGAGUAACUCUAUUAUAGAGUUGGAUUUGCUCCAAUGGUUCACUCUAUAAUAGAGUUACUCUAUAAGAGCAUCUCCAACCCCACUCCAUAUUUUACUCCAAAAUGGAAAAAAUGGAGUGGGAAAUGGAGUGAUGAACAAAAAAUAAAAGCAUUACUCUAUAAAUGGAGUAAUCCUUUUAUUUUUUGUUCUUUACUCCAUUUCUCACUCCAUUUUCUCAAAUUUGGAGUAAAAUAUGGAGUGGGGUUGGAGAUGCCCUAAUAGAGUGAAAUAUAGAGUAAUCUUAUUUUUUUAAUAGAGUAACUCUAUAAUAGAGUUACUCUAUUUUAGUGUAAAUUAUAGAGGAAAAAAUAGAGUCCCCUUGGAGAUGCUCUUAUAGAAUAGAAAAUAGAGUACAAUUGAAGCAUUUUUACUCUAAACUCUAUUUUAUAUGGAAAAAUAGAGUGAUGUUGGAAAUACUUUUAAGUUAGAAUUGAAAAUAUAUGUAGACUCAAAUAGUUUUAAAGAUCAAACACAUGUAAAUAAUAAAAAAGACGGAUAUAAAUAUUAGUUUGAAGUUAAUUAUAGUUUCAUAUACUUCAAAAAAAAAUAUAUAACAAAGGUAUAUAUAUACUUUUGAUUUAUCACAAAAUUUUUUGAGAACACAUAUAUGUGUAAACUAUAAGAAAUAAAAAAAUCAAUUGUAUCUUUAUGGAAUAUUAAUUUAUGUUAUUAAAGAAAAAUCACCAAUUAGGAGGUCCGAUGGCUGCAGAUAGAGGUUCUUCUUGGAUGGCUCAAACAUUACUCAUCUCCCAAGCUUAGGACCUGUCUCUUCACCAAGCCAAGUUGGACCUGUAAGUGGCCCUCCACCUCGCCCUCAACCGAUAUCUGCAGAGAUGGAGAAGGCACUGAAUGCUUCAACAUGUGAUAAUUUUCUGCCACCAGAACAGAGAAAUCAAGUCCUUCAGCUCAUCUUACCAAAAAAAAGUCCUUCAGCUCCAAGAGAUUCUCCGACAGUGAAGCUCGUUGAUACAAUCGCUUGGUCUCCAACUCUCCAUGUUAUAACUUAGAAGGUUUUGGGUUUGAAUGUAUGGUAUGAGUCAAGUUUGACAUAAUUUGUACAAAAGAAGUAAUUAUAUAUUUUUUAAGUUCAGUGAAUCACUGACACAUGAUACUUUGGUCAUAUCCCCUGGAGAAAAAGUGUUUUCUUUCACUUGA